rnacentral:rRNA from 1 species
AUGGCCGAACUCGACUGUCUCGUACGUGACGAUUCACCACCAGACAAGAAUAAAGGAGGAGCGAGCGGCGGAGAUGAGAGGAGCAGCAGCCAUGGCGACCACUCACCCAGAACUAGACAUGUGAUUUCAUCUGGUCCAUCAUGGAGUACUGCAAAUCUACCAUGCAAACGGUAUUUUGCUGGUACGAGGAGACAUGGCUGGAAGCAACGGCGAAGCACACCAGUAGUAUCUCUGUUUGGGAGAAAGAGCGCAAAGAGGACCACCAGAGAAACGGGUGUUCCAGACCCAGACUAUCGACAACCGAUCGCUAUACUUGGAUGGCCUGGAUGGCCUGAGGUGAGCAGCCUUUGA